rnacentral:rRNA from 1 species
GACGAACGCUGGCGGCGUGCUUAACACAUGCAAGUCGAACGGAAAGGCCCCGUUGUUGGUACUCGAGUGGCGAACGGGGGAGUAACACGUGAGUAACCUUCCCUUGACUUCGGGAUAACGUCAGGAAACGGGGGCUAAUACCGGUUAGGAAUCCUUGCUGCAUGGUGGGGGUUGGAAAGCUUCGGCGGUUUUUGCUGGAAUCGCGGCUUAGCAGCUUGUUGGUGGAGUAGUGGGUUACCGACGCGUUGACGGGUAGCCGGCCUGAGAGGGCGACCGGCCACCCUGGGACUGACGUGAGGCCCAGGCACCUACGGGAGGCAGCAGUGGGGAAUCUUGACCAAUGGGCGGCAGCCUGAUGCAGAAACGCCGCGGGCCGGAUGACUGCCUUAGGGUUGUAAACCGAAUUCAGAAGGGGCGAAGCUUGUCGUGACGGUACCUGCAGAAGAAGCAACGGCUAACUACGUG